CAGUUUGGAGCUGGGAGUGGGCCCUCCCCCAGAUCAUGCCAGGUUCUUUUAGAAAGGGAAUAGCUGUCAGGAGAGAGAAAGGCUGGCCGCUCUAGCUACUCAAUGACUGGACACCCCCCUUCCUUCCUCAGGAUGUAGGUGGUGACUUCAAGAUCUCCAAGCCAAGGGGCUAUGAAGUUCAGUCUUGGUCAACGUGAUGGAUGCCCUGCCCCAGGCUGGGCCAAGGCUGCUCGAGGCACUGCAGCCGCACCCGGUGCCCCCGCGCUGUCCUGUCCUCCUUACCCUGCUUCCCUCGGUUGGCCCAGGGCAACCUCACCAGCGCCCAGGAGAAGACUCCGCAGUCGGGGCGCAGGCCGGCAACCGAGCCAUGAACAUAAGCGAACCCUGAGCAUUCCCGCUUCCGGCUGCCGGGUCCCCUGCCAGCCUCCCGGAGAGCGGGGUUUGUGAAAUACCAGCCUUGUCUAUGCCCUACGCUCACUCAUGCUCCGGAGCCCCUGCUUACCAGCCACACGGCGCUCGGGAGAGAACCUUCAUCCCAAAUGUGAGCCAAAGAUCAAGUUUAACGGUGUGGUCCCAAAUUACACAUCAUUACACGACAGGAGGCCAAAGGAGGUCUCUCCUUCCCUACCAGAAACCUCUGCUCGUCCACGCCUCUCUCUACAGGUAAGGCUGCCAGAUAAGAUACAGGGUGACCGGUUACAUGGAAACUUCAAAUAAACAUGAAAAAAAUUUUAGUACA
rnacentral:lncRNA from 12 species